UUUUUUUAUAUGGUACUAGAAGAGCCUUUCUAAUCAUUCAUCUAUCAAUGCCUGCUAUGAUAUGCUUAUAGCUCAUGUAUACAUGCAUCUGAUUAGUGAUAUCUCCAGGUUUUUUUGAC